rnacentral:tRNA from 1 species
CUAGUCGUGGCCGAGUGUUUAAGGCGACAGACUUGAAAUCUGUUGGGAUAUUCCUGCGCAGGUUCAAAUCCUGCCGACUACG